ensembl:lncRNA
GAUAAUGUGAAUGUAAACUUUUAGUGCCCUUUAGAUUCCACCCAUUUGCUGGGUCAGUGAUGAGGUUACUGUUGACUUGUUAAAAUGUUUAGAUUAGUUACAAUGAAAAUAAACGAAACUAGUGAAAACAGCUGUAGCUCACAGUUCCAUUAACGCUACGCAGGCAUGCUGCUUGCAGCCGCCAGACCUGAACCCUUUAGUUGUAUUUUUGCAUGCCCUUGAAACACCCUAGAAAAUAACAGUACACCCACUUGAUAGAGAGCCUGUGCCCCAGAACUGAUGAAGGCCUGGAAACACCCCUGAGUCUAACUGCAGAGUGAAAUCCUUUAAAAACACCGGGCUACAUUAGAACAGUACAACAGUGAGGUCUAAAAGAUGGUGAUGAUUAUAAAUUAAUCUUGAAGCUAUUUUAGUUGCUCAAGGCAGUUUGAAUAGUAAUGCUUAUAACCAGCCUUGUUUUUUUUUCAGGGCCUCUGAUGCAGUCAUGUUUCUGCCUGGAUGUCUUUGAAUAACAUCAAUCUGGACCUGACAUGACAUGACAUGGUUCCUGCGGGAACAGCUUCAGGUAGAGAGGGAACUGUUCUCGGAAAGCUCUGCUCAAUGAGUCGGAAACCAGGUUGUUAUAAAAAUGUUUAGCACAGUGGUUUUCCCAAUUAAUGUCAGGCAUGACAUACACCACCCAUACCCUUCGUUCUCAUCUGCGAGGUUUUCA